UGCAGAGUGAGAAAGCUCAUUACCGUUUGGUGAUGGGCUUUUGUAAUGCAGAGCGCCGGUCACAAUCCCGG
ncrna:unclassified sequences Type-P5 twister ribozyme ribozyme sequence